GACGAACGCUGGCGGCGUGCCUAAUACAUGCAAGUCGAACGAGUUGCGAACGGGUGAUUAACACGUGGUAACCUGCCUAAUAGCGGGGGAUAACUAUUGGAAACGAUAGCUAAUACCGCAUACUGUGAGAUGGACCUGCGUUGUAUUAGCUAGUUGUGGAGGUAAAGGCUCACCAAGGCGACGAUACAUAGCCGCCCUGAGAGGGUGAACAGCCACACUGGAACUGAGACACGGUCCAGACUCCUACGGGAGGCAGCAGUGGGGAAUAUUGCACAAUGGGCGAAAGCCUGAUGCAGCCAUGCCGCGUGUAUGAAGAAGGCCUUCGGGUUGUAAAGUACUUUCAGCGAGGAGGCGGUACCCGCAGAAGAAGCACCGGCUAACUCCGUGCCAGCAGCCGCGGUAAUUC
rnacentral:rRNA from 1 species